rnacentral:rRNA from 1 species
UACGUAGGGGGCAAGCGUUGUCCGGAAUCACUGGGCGUAAAGCGCGCGCAGGCGGCUAUCUACGUCCGGGGUGAAAGCCCAGAGCUCAACUCUGGGACUGCCCUGGAUACGGGAUAGCUUGAGGAUCGGAGAGGCAAGGGGAAUUCCACGUGUAGCGGUGAAAUGCGUAGAGAUGUGGAGGAACACCUGUGGCGAAGGCGCCUUGCUGGCCGAUUUCUGACGCUGAGGCGCGAAAGCGUGGGGAGCAAACAGG